CCCUAUGGCCACGCUAGCCUGAACAAGCCCGAUCCCAUCUGAUCUCGGAAGCUAAGCAGGGUCGGGCCUGGUGAGUACUUGGAUGGGAGACCACCUAGGAAGACGAGGUGCUGUAGGCA
rnacentral:rRNA from 1 species